rnacentral:rRNA from 1 species
AUCAUAGUCAAAAUCUGAGUUUGAUCCUGGCUCACAAGGAACGCUAGCUAUAUGCUUAACACAUGCAAGUCGAACGUUGUUUUCGGGGAGCUGGGCAGAAGGAAAAGAGGCUCCUAGCUAAAGUUGUCUCGCCCUGCUUCAAAACUACAGGGCGCGCGCUACGGCUUUGACCUAACGGCCUCCGUUUGCUGGAAUCGGAAUAGUUGAGAACAAAGUGGCGAACG